GCAUCGGUCCCACCUGCUUUCCUGUGGGUGGCAUGGGUUGUGUCUGUGGGUGGGGGUUGGUCACCGGCAGUCUGUGGUUUCUGGUUGAGGGACUCAAUCAGGGCGCGAACUCGCGGCGUCGGAUACAGCCGCUGUGCCUUCUCCAGGAAGCGGAGCGCCCGGUCGGGCUGGUUGCUCUGGAUGGCCUUGAGGGCGAUGCUGAUACAGCGCUCAGCUUCAUCCUUGUUGGAUUCCAUGGCGGAACCAGAACGCGGAACCAGGGAGGGGGAGGCCGGGCGAGCGAAGGGCUGCGCCACC
rnacentral:lncRNA from 1 species